CUUGGUCAUUUAGAGGAAGUAAAAGUCGUAACAAGGUUUCCGUAGGUGAACCUGCGGAAGGAUCAUUAAAGAAAUAAACUUGACGGGUUGUAGCUGGCUCUAACUUGAGUAUGUGCACGCCUGUCAUUUUUAUCUUUCCACCAUGUGCACUUUGCGUAGGGUCUGAAAAUCAAGUAAAUUCUUGAUGUCUUGGGAACUGCUGUGCUUCACAGCCGGCUUUUCCUGUCUUCAGGCUCUAUGAUUUUUAUAUAUACACCAUGUAUGUUAAAGAACGCAUUUACAGGCUUGCAAAAGCCUAUAAACUUUAUACAACUUUCAACAACGGAUCUCUUGGUUCUGGCAUCGAUGAAGAACGCAGCGAAAUGCGAUAAGUAAUGUGAAUUGCAGAAUUCAGUGAAUCAUCGAAUCUUUGAACGCACAUCGCGCCCUUUGGCAUUCCGAGGGGCAUGCCUGUUCGAGCGUCAUUACACCACUCAAGCCCGGCUUGGUAUUGGGCGGCGGGGCUCCCCCGCGCCUUAAUUUCACCGGCUGGACAACCCGUAUCUCAGCGUUGUGGCAUCAAAUUCGCUGGCGAGAAGGGUGGCCCGUGCCGUUAAAAUUUCCAUCAAGGUUGACCUCGGAUCAGGUAGGGAUACCCGCUGAACUUAAGCAUAUCAAUAAGCGGAGGAAAAGAAACCAACAGGGAUUGCCCUAGUAACGGCGAGUGAAGCGGCAACAGCUCAAAUUUGAAAUCUGGCGCAAGCCCGAGUUGUAAUUUGUAGAGGAUGCUUCGGGGCAGCGGCCGGUCUAAGUUCCUUGGAACAGGACGUCAAAGAGGGUGAGAGUCCCGUACGUGACCGGCUGGCACCCCAUCCGUAGCUCCUUCGACGAGUCGAGUUGUUUGGGAAU
rnacentral:sRNA from 1 species